rnacentral:rRNA from 1 species
GAUGAACGCUGGCGGCGUGCCUAAUACAUGCAAGUCGAGCGAACAGACGAGGAGCUUGCUCCUCUGAUGUUAGCGGCGGACGGGUGAGUAACACGUGGAUAACCUACCUAUAAGACUGGGAUAACUUCGGGAAACCGGAGCUAAUACCGGAUAACAUGUUGAACCGCAUGGUUCAACAGUGAAAGACGGUCUUGCUGUCACUUAUAGAUGGAUCCGCGCCGCAUUAGCUAGUUGGUAAGGUAACGGCUUACCAAGGCAACGAUGCGUAGCCGACCUGAGAGGGUGAUCGGCCACACUGGAACUGAGACACGGUCCAGACUCCUACGGGAGGCAGCAGUAGGGAAUCUUACGCAAUGGGCGAAAGCCUGACGGAGCAACGCCGCGUGAGUGAAGAAGGUCUUCGGAUCGUAAAACUCUGUUAUUAGGGAAGAACAAAUGUGUAAGUAACUAUGCACGUCUUGACGGUACCUAAUCAGAAAGCCACGGCUAACUACGUG